GUCUUCUGAGUAUGAGUGAGUACACUUGCCUUCCAAGUAAGAGGAUUAAAAGAAUUUAAAGGAGAUACCA
rnacentral:tRNA from 1 species